rnacentral:rRNA from 1 species
AGUGAACGCUGGCGGCAGGCCUAAUACAUGCAAGUCGAACGGCAGCACAGUGGAGCUUGCUCCAUGGGUGGCGAGUGGCGGACGGGUGAGGAAUACAUGGGAAUCUGCCCAGUCGUGGGGGAUAACGUAGGGAAACUUACGCUAAUACCGCAUGCGCCCUUCGGGGGAAAGCCGGGGACCGUAAGGCCUGGCGCGAUUGGAUGAGCCCAUGUUCGAUUAGCUAGUUGGCGGGGUAAAGGCCCACCAAGGCGACGAUCGAUAGCUGGUCUGAGAGGAUGAUCAGCCACACUGGAACUGAGACACGGUCCAGACUCCUACGGGAGGCAGCAGUAGGGAAUAUUGGACAAUGGGGGCAACCCUGAUCCAGCCAUGCCGCGUGAGUGAAGAAGGCCCUCGGGUUGUAAAGCUCUUUUGUCCGGAAAGAAAGCAUUCGGUUAAUACCCGGGUGUUCUGACGGUACCGGAAGAAUAAGCACCGGCUAACUUCGUGCCAGCAGCC